CCAGCUUACCCCUUUGGUCGAUGUACGGGCGAAUGACCACAUUGGGUUGCUCCUGAAGUUUGCUCCCAAACUGGUCGAUGUCCAGGUUGUACCCCCACACUGCAAAGACACAGCCGGGCUUCCUGAGGACGCCCUUGACCACGGCGUAGAACAUUGGGACGUCCAACCAGUGGACCGCAGUCGCCGCUGCAAUGAGGUCCAGCAAACCCUCACCGCUGACAAGGGUGACGACGUCGUCCUCGGAGAGAUCCUCCGACAUGUGAAAGUACCGCACCUUGGAGUGCACGGGGGCGUGCCGAAGCUGGGCCCCGCUCACGUUUGGGGCCAACACGCUGUAGUGCUCAGCGACGCUCACGGAGGCCUGCCCACUGGAGGAUUUUACAACACAAUUUACUACUUCCAGGAGGGAGUAGUACUGAACAAGAUCAACCAUUGAUUCACCGGGUAUUUUAGACAGAGUAUUUUGUAUCCUUUUCCAGAUUCUAUCAUAGCAAAUGCUGUUUUUAAAACUGAAUCUGUCCAAAUGUUGGCUGUGUGUACAGGUGCCCGGCCUAGGCCUAGGCCAUGGUUCUCUUGCCGAGGAUGGAGACGAGAAAAGAGGACAGGGCAUUGGGGAUCCACAAAACAUUAACCGUCAAGCCUGGAAAGCAAGGGGUUCUUCUGUUUAGGAAGGACAACAAGGGAUUUUCUCAAAGAAAAAUUCGGGAUCUCUUUUGUGUGCCUUCCUGUUCUACCCCUUCACAAAAUAAUUCCACUAUUCACGUUGAGAUGUAGUCAAGCUUUUAAAUUGCGUCCGCUACCUCGCUAUUGCGACCACAACAGCGAUAGCAUCACCCUGCCACUACCGCUAUUAGUCUAAGGUUGCGCUAGAAAAUAACGUGUAGUCAUGAUGCGAAUGCAAUAUCAAUUGUCAGACCGCUAUAUCAUCCGCUAUCCACAACAUCUCUUGCUAUAAAGUGUUUAUUAUUCUGUUGUGUAAUCUAUUUGUGUAAAUGUGUCUUGCUUACAUGGUUGCACCUUGGACGACCAAAUAUUGUUCAGUUAUAGUUUAUAUUCUUAUAUAAAU
rnacentral:lncRNA from 1 species